GGUAGACGCUACGGAUUUGAAAAUCCGUUGGCUUUAUUGACCGUGAGGGUUCAAGUCCCUCUACCCCCA
rnacentral:tRNA from 1 species